UACGUAGGGUGCGAGCGUUGUCCGGAAUUAUUGGGCGUAAAGGGCUCGUAGGCGGGCUGUCACGUCGGGAGUGAAAACUCAGGGCUUAACCCUGAGCCUGCUUCCGAUACGGGCAGACUAGAGGUAUGCAGGGGAGAGCGGAAUUCCUGGUGUAGCGGUGAAAUGCGCAGAUAUCAGGAGGAACACCGGUGGCGAAGGCGGUUCUCUGGGCAGGAACUGACGCUGAGGUGCGAAAGUGUGGGGAGCGAACAGG
rnacentral:rRNA from 1 species